rnacentral:tRNA from 1 species
GCGGAUGUGGCGGAACUGGCAGACGCGCUAGACUUAGGAUCUAGUGGGUAACGCCCUUGAGGGUUCGAGUCCCUCCGUCCGCACCA